rnacentral:rRNA from 1 species
CGGCCAUAGUGGGUGAUAGCCCUGUACGCGAAAAUCUCUUAGUCAUGAAAUCGAGUAGGACGGAGCACGAGAAACUUUGUCUGAAUAUGGGGGGACCAUCCUCCAAGGCUAAAUACUACUGACUGACCGAUAGUGAACUAGUACCGUGAGGGAAAGGCGAAAAGAACCCCGGAGAGGGGAGUGAAAUAGAUCCUGAAACCGUAUGCGUACAAGCAGUGGGAGCCUACUUGUUAGGUGACUGCGUACCUUUUGUAUAAUGGGUCAGCGACUUAUUUUCAGUGGCGAGCUUAACCGAAUAGGGGAGGCGUAGCGAAAGCGAGUCUUAAUAGGGCGUCUAGUCGCUGGGAAUAGACCCGAAACCGGGCGAUCUAUCCAUGGGCAGGUUGAAGGUUGGGUAACACUAACUGGAGGACCGAACCGACUACCGUUGAAAAGUUAGCGGAUGACCUGUGGAUCGGAGUGAAAGGCUAAUCAAGCUCGGAGAUAGCUGGUUCUCCUCGAAAGCUAUUUAGGUAGCGCCUCAUGUAUCACUGUAGGGGGUAGAGCACUGUUUCGGCUAGGGGGUCAUCCCGACUUACCAAACCGAUGCAAACUCCGAAUACCUACAAGUGCCGAGCAUGGGAGACACACGGCGGGUGCUAACGUCCGUCGUGAAAAGGGAAACAACCCAGACCGUCAGCUAAGGUCCCAAAGUUAUGGUUAAGUGGGAAACGAUGUGGGAAGGCUUAGACAGCUAGGAGGUUGGCUUAGAAGCAGCCACCCUUUAAAGAAAGCGUAAUAGCUCACUAGUCGAGUCGGCCUGCGCGGAAGAUGUAACGGGGCUCAAACCAUACACCGAAGCUACGGGUAUCACUUAGGUGAUGCGGUAGAGGAGCGUUCUGUAAGCCUGUGAAGGUGAGUUGAGAAGCUUGCUGGAGGUAUCAGAAGUGCGAAUGCUGACAUGAGUAACGAUAAUGGGUGUGAAAAACACCCACGCCGAAAGACCAAGGUUUCCUGCGCAACGUUAAUCGACGCAGGGUUAGUCGGUCCCUAAGGCGAGGCUGAAAAGCGUAGUCGAUGGAAAACAGGUUAAUAUUCCUGUACUUCUGGUUAUUGCGAUGGAGGGACGGAGAAGGCUAGGCCAGCUUGGCGUUGGUUGUCCAAGUUUAAGGUGGUAGGCUGGAAUCUUAGGUAAAUCCGGGAUUCUAAGGCCGAGAGCUGAUGACGAGUUAUCUUUUAGAUGACGAAGUGGUUGAUGCCAUGCUUCCAAGAAAAGCUUCUAAGCUUCAGGUAACCAGGAACCGUACCCCAAACCGACACAGGUGGUUGGGUAGAGAAUACCAAGGCGCUUGAGAGAACUCGGGUGAAGGAACUAGGCAAAAUGGCACCGUAACUUCGGGAGAAGGUGCGCCGGUGAGGGUGAAGGACUUGCUCCGUAAGCUCAUGCCGGUCGAAGAUACCAGGCCGCUGCGACUGUUUAUUAAAAACACAGCACUCUGCAAACACGAAAGUGGACGUAUAGGGUGUGACGCCUGCCCGGUGCCGGAAGGUUAAUUGAUGGGGUUAGCUAACGCGAAGCUCUUGAUCGAAGCCCCGGUAAACGGCGGCCGUAACUAUAACGGUCCUAAGGUAGCGAAAUUCCUUGUCGGGUAAGUUCCGACCUGCACGAAUGGCGUAACGAUGGCGGCGCUGUCUCCACCCGAGACUCAGUGAAAUUGAAAUCGCUGUGAAGAUGCAGUGUAUCCGCGGCUAGACGGAAAGACCCCGUGAACCUUUACUAUAGCUUUGCACUGGACUUUGAAUUUGCUUGUGUAGGAUAGGUGGGAGGCUUUGAAGCGUGGACGCCAGUUCGCGUGGAGCCAACCUUGAAAUACCACCCUGGCAACUUUGAGGUUCUAACUCAGGUCCGUUAUCCGGAUCGAGGACAGUGUAUGGUGGGUAGUUUGACUGGGGCGGUCUCCUCCUAAAGAGUAACGGAGGAGUACGAAGGUGCGCUCAGACCGGUCGGAAAUCGGUCGUAGAGUAUAAAGGCAAAAGCGCGCUUGACUGCGAGACAGACACGUCGAGCAGGUACGAAAGUAGGUCUUAGUGAUCCGGUGGUUCUGUAUGGAAGGGCCAUCGCUCAACGGAUAAAAGGUACUCCGGGGAUAACAGGCUGAUACCGCCCAAGAGUUCAUAUCGACGGCGGUGUUUGGCACCUCGAUGUCGGCUCAUCACAUCCUGGGGCUGAAGCCGGUCCCAAGGGUAUGGCUGUUCGCCAUUUAAAGUGGUACGCGAGCUGGGUUUAGAACGUCGUGAGACAGUUCGGUCCCUAUCUGCCGUGGACGUUUGAGAUUUGAGAGGGGCUGCUCCUAGUACGAGAGGACCGGAGUGGACGAACCUCUGGUGUUCCGGUUGUCACGCCAGUGGCAUUGCCGGGUAGCUAUGUUCGGAAUAGAUAACCGCUGAAAGCAUCUAAGCGGGAAACUAGCCUCAAGAUGAGAUCUCACUGGGACCUUGAGUCCCCUGAAGGGCCGUCGAAGACUACGACGUUGAUAGGUUGGGUGUGUAAGCGCUGUGAGGCGUUGAGCUAACCAAUACUAAUUGCCCGUGAGGCUUGACCAU